rnacentral:rRNA from 1 species
ACCUACGGGAGGCAGCAGUGAGGAAUAUUGAUCAAUGGUCGGGAGACUGAACCAGCCAAGCCGCGUGAGGGAUGAAGGUACAGAGUAUCGUAAACCUCUUUUGUCAGGGAACAAAGGCGGGGACGCGUCCCCGGAUGAGUGUACCUGAAGAAAAAGCAUCGGCUAACUCCGUGCCAGCAGCCGCGGUAAUACGGAGGAUGCGAGCGUUAUCCGGAUUUAUUGGGUUUAAAGGGUGCGCAGGCGGUCUGUUAAGUCAGCGGUCAAAGCCCGGGGCUCAACCCCGGCCCGCCGUUGAAACUGGCAGU